rnacentral:rRNA from 1 species
UACGAAGGGGGCUAGCGUUGCUCGGAAUUACUGGGCGUAAAGCGCACGUAGGCGGUCUUUAAGUCGGGGUGAAAUCCUGGAGCUCACUCCAGAACUGCCUUCGAUACUGGAAGACUUGAGUCCGGGAGAGGUGAGUGGGAACUGCGAGUGUAGAGGUGAAAUUCGUAGAUAUUCGCAAGAACACCAGUGGCGAAGGCGGACU